GUUUUUUAUUUGUGGCAUUUUAUUGUAAAGCCGUGACAUAUUUUGCCGUUUUCUCUAGGGAACCCUGCAACAAGGACUGUAGUGUGAAUAGCGUGCUGCGCUGCUCUCGCCAACUGAAAAGAACUCUGGUAAGAUGCAUGCUUGGUUAUGAAAGUCUCACGCAAUCGCUUUUCACAUUGAAUUUGGUCGCAGGUGUGCUGUAAAUGCCGACUGCACAAUAUGUGACUGGCCCGCGGCUGCUUUGAAGUUUGUGCGCUGUGGAGCUUGAAGCACUUCUCGGAAUUUCAGCACACUCGCAUUUAUUUUUUUCCCGACAGAAGAAAAAUGCAAGUCUAACAUCUCGACGGUAAAACGUCGCAUCUGCGCACGUGUUCAGGGCCAAGAGCACGAGAAGUGGCCGAAAGAAGGGAGCCGAUCCAACAGGAAUGCCGUCCGUCUUUAUAUUUAUAUGUGUCAGCGUUAUCAUGCCGUGAUCACAUGGACUGUACGGUUGCGUUGCACAAGGGCUGAUGCAAACGCUCCGUGCGAACAAUGUUGCAUGGAAAAUUAGUGCAUCUAUACAAUUGCAAAAUAAAGAUCUAAAGAGAGAAAACUUAUAUUCACGUCUUUCUUUUAUUGUGUGUUACGUAUUAACACGUUAACAAGUGCAGACCGUUAGAGGCGUUUAAUUCCGUCUUACAUGUGCACUCUGCCCGUAAUUAAUUCAGAUAGAGUUAAACGCCUCUAUAA